rnacentral:rRNA from 1 species
CGUGUCGUGAGAUGUUGGGUUAAGUCCCGCAACGAGCGCAACCCUUGAUCUUAGUUGCCAGCAUUCAGUUGGGCACUCUAAGGUGACUGCCGGUGACAAACCGGAGGAAGGUGGGGAUGACGUCAAAUCAUCAUGCCCCUUAUGACCUGGGCUACACACGUGCUACAAUGGACAGAACAAAGGGCAGCGAAACCGCGAGGUUAAGCCAAUCCCACAAAUCUGUUCUCAGUUCGGAUCGCAGUCUGCAACUCGACUGCGUGAAGCUGGAAUCGCUAGUAAUCGCGGAUCAGCAUGCCGCGGUGAAUACGUUCCCGGGCCUUGUACACACCGCCCGUCACACCACGAGAGUUUGUAACACCCGAAGUCGGUGAGGUAACCUUUAUGGAGCCAGCCGCCGAAGGUGGGACAGAUGAUUGGGGU